AACGAACGCUGGCGGCGUGGAUAAGACAUGCAAGUCGAACGAGGAACCUAUGAAGCUUGCUUUGAAGGUUCCUAGUGGCGAACGGGUGAGUAUCACGUGAGCAACCUGCCCGGAAGUGGGGGAUAGCCUGGGGAAACUCGGAUUAAUACCGCAUACGGUCGUGUAGGACAUCCUACAUCGACCAAAGCUGGGGAUCUUCGGACCUGGCGCUUCCGGAUGGGCUCGCGGCGUAUCAGCUUGUUGGUGGGGUAACGGCCUACCAAGGCGAUGACGCGUAGCUGGUCUGAGAGGAUGGUCAGCCACACUGGGACUGAGACACGGCCCAGACACCUACGGGUGGCAGCAGUCGAGAAUCAUUCGCAAUGGGCGAAAGCCUGACGGUGCGACGCCGCGUGGAGGAUGAAGGCCCUAGGGUCGUAAACUCCUGUCAUCAGGGAGUAAGGUUCUCGGUGAAUAACCGACGAAAUUGAUAGUACCUGAAGAGGAAGAGACGGCUAACUCUGUGCCAGCCGCCGCCGUAAUAC
rnacentral:rRNA from 1 species